CAGAGGGGAGGACGGUAGGGUAGUAGAGCACCCACAAGGACACACAUCUCAAAGAACCAUUGUCACUGCACCUGGUGAGUAACUUCUCCUUCAGUGAGUGGUGUCCUGUGGUUGCUCAACUCAGGUGACUCGCCAGAUGGAGGUGGGCAUUGGAGUCUUAAGUUGAAGAAGGAAGGACCACAUCUGCUAGAGAUGUGGAGGGUACUUUUUGUAGGGCAUAGUGCUGUGUGAAAGUACGGUGUGAUGACCAUGUGGCUGCCCUACAAAUGUCCACCAAUGGAGGAGGCUAUCGCACUUGUGGAGUGAGCCCUGGGACUAUGGUGGCUGUUUGCCCCAGAAUUCACAAGCGGUAUGUACGCAGCCUGCAAUUCAUUUGGAUAGGCGCUGCGCUAAAACAGCUGUUACAUGUAGUCCUGACCACGCCACAAAGAGUCUGUCCAAUUUUCUGGUUGCUCUAGUUCUAUCAAGGUAGAAUGUAAUUGCCCAUCCUGCAUCUUGAGUAUGUAAUAUAGCCUCCUUGGAGGAGGCGUGAGGUUUAGGGAAAUAAGCAGGUAAGUAAAUGGGUUCAUUUAUGUGGAAGUCAGAUAUAACCUUAGGGAGGAACUUGGGGUGGGGUCUGAGUAUGACUUUAUCCCUGGUAAAAGUAGCGGAAAGGUGGGUCAGCCAUGAGGGCUGCGAUUUCUCCUACCCUUCUUGCUGAUGUUAUUGCCACUAUGAAUGCCACCUUCAUAGAUAAGUAUUGUAGAGGCAUAGUGACUAAUAGCUCAAAGAGUGGCCUGGUGAGCAUGUCAAAGAUCAAAUUCAGGUCCCACGGUGGUACCAGGGGGAGCAGGUUGGGACACAUUUUCUGUAAUCCUGUGAGAAAAUGCUUCACUGGGGAUGUGCGAAGAGGGAGAAGCCAUCUACCGGAUCAUGAAAGGCCAUGAUCCCCGCUAGGUGGACUCAGACGGAGCUGAUGGAGAGGCCUGUGUUGCUGAGGUCCAUGAGGUAGUCAAGUAAGGUAGGUAUAGGGACUGUAGUGGGAUGCAAAUUGUGCAUCAUGCACCAUUGUUGAAAGUGUGUCCAUUUGUUUUGAUAGGUGCUUCUCGUGGAGGAACACCGAUUGUUCAGUAGAAUGUGUUUGACUCUAUCCGAACAGGUGAGUUCUUAAUUCUGGAACCAUGAAGAAGGCAUGCUGUGAGUUUCAGAGUUUUGAUGUUGAGGUGACCCGUGCUGCCAGGGUGCUGCGCCAGGAGGUUCGGCACCACCAGGAGAGGAAUGGGUUGAUCUCUCGAUAGGUAGUGGAGAUAAGGGAACCAGGGUUGUCUCGGCCAAGUUGGGGCUAUUAAGAUUACUGUGUCCCAAUCAAACCGAAUCUUGUUGAUCACCCUGGCAAUAAGCAGAAUUGGUAGAAAGGCAUAGAGUAGGGGAGUUGUCCAAAGAAUGGUGAAGGUGUCCGCUUGUGACCUCUUGCCCGCUCCUGCCCAGGAGCAGAAUCUGCAGCAUUUGCGGUUAUAAGGUGUUGCAAAGAGGUCAAUAGUUGGAAAGCCCCAUUUGUGGAAGACUAAGAAGAGGAUAUUGGUAUUGAUCUCCCACUUGUGCUGAUCUGAGAAAUGUCUGCUUAGUUUGUUAGCUCUCACGUUCUGUUGUUCCAGUAUAUACAUGGCUGUUGGGGUUAUCUGGUUCCUGAUGCACCAGUUCCAAAAUAUGACUGCUUUGGCACAUAGACAGCUUGAUCAGGCACCCCCCUGCCGAUCGACAUAGAACAUAGAAGGUGUGUUGUCUGCGAGGACACGGAUAUUUCUGCCCUUUAUCGGGGAAGGAAAAGAGCACAAGCCCUGUGAAUGGCCCUGAGCUCCAGGAUGUUGAUGUGGAAGUGUCUCUCGUGCUGGGCCCAUGUACCCAGUAUUGAUGUUGUGCCACAAUGGGCCCCCCAGCCCAUAAGUGAUGCAUCUGUCAUUUGGUAACUAAGGGGUCUGGCCGGUGAAAGGGUACGCCUGUGAGCAGGUUGGCUGGAGAUGUCCACCAUUCGAGAGACUGUAGUACCGGUAGAGGAAGUGUGAGAUGCUUCAUGAGGCUGUGUUGGGUUAGUAUAUAGUUGAUUGUGGGCCAAUGUUGAAGGCACCUUGUGUGUAGCUUUGCAAAUAGAACUACAAAAAUUUUGGCAGUCAUAUGUCCCAAUAACUGGACUGUGGAGAAGGGAGCCUGCCUGACCUGUUGAACGAAGCCACAGAUUGCCUCGAAUCUUUGUGGCAGGAGGUAGGCUCUUGCUGUGACCAAGUCUAGAAAUGCCCCCAAUAAAUUAUAGCCUAUGCAAAAGAUAUCUGGUGGAUUUUUGUAUAUUGAUAAGCAGGCCAAGUCGGGAAUAACAUUCCCUGGUAACAGCUGUCAUGAUAGUAGUUAGUUGAUAGGUAGGGCCCUGAUUAGACAAUCGUCGAGGUAAGAGAAGAUAAUGAUAUUUUGCCUUCUGAGGAAAGCCAUGACGACGGCUAGCGUCUUUGAAAAUACUCAAGGGGCCGUAGAGAGGCCAAAGGGGAGGACUCUCUACUGAUACUGGGCUUGGACCAUGAAAAAUCUGAGAAAUCUUCUGUGGGAUCAGUGGAUAGUUACAUGAAAAUAUGCAUCUUGGAGGUCGAGGGCUAAGAACCAGUCCCCUUCAUCAAGUGCAGGUAUGAUGGCUGCGAGGGUCACCAUCCUGAAUCUUGUGCUGCGAAUGAACUCAUUGAGUUUCCUGAGAUUGAGGAUCAGUCUCCAUCCCCCUGGUUUUUUUGGCUAUGAGGAAAUAAUUGGAGUAGGGAAUUGCAUAACCCGAUUUGAUAAUUCCCAGGACCCAUUUGUCUGUGGUAAUUUAGGUCCGUUGUUGGUAGAAAGGUCUCAGGCAGUGAUGGAAGGUGACCUUGGAAUGCACUAGAAUUGCGGGGUGGUCGCUCAGACCCUCGACUAACACUUCAAGUUUGCCGUUUGGUGAGAAGUGGAUUAAGCUGUGGAGGAGUGGUUUUGCUGCAUCCUCCUCCUGUUAGGACAUUGCUUGGGCCUGUUGUCAUAUGGCCUCUGCUGUUGUCUAUAGUAAUUGUAAUUAUAGUCCCUAGGCCUUUGGUAGGGGGUAUAUUUGCAUUUAUCAGGUGAGGUGUACAUUCCCAGAGUGCAGCGUGUCAUUCAAGAGUCCUUUAUUGAGUGUAGGAUCUCAUCUGUGUUGUUAGCGAAUAGCUGUUUUCUAUCAAAGGGGAGAUUCUCCACAUUUGACUACAAUUCUCUUGGGACCCCUGAUGACUGUAGCCACAAGGCUGUACACAUUACAAUGGCUGUGGCUCUAGCAGCAGAGUUUGCGACAUCCAUAGUGACCUGGAGAGCAGUUUUCGCUAUUGACAAACCUCCUUAAUAAUGGAUUGAUGGGGAGGUCAUUUAUUGUCAAGGAGAUCCUAAAGCAGGUAUUAUAAUUUGGCAUAGUUGGCAUGAUCAUAAUUGGCCAGAAGGGCUGUAUAAUUUGAUAUACUGAACUGGAGUGUGGCAGAAGUGUACACUUUGCGGCCAAAGGUGUCUAGCCAUUUGUGUUCUUUGUCACGGAGCGUAGACUUAAAUUGUGGGUUCUUAGCCUUGCGAUUAACCGAGUUCACUACCAGUGAGUUCAGUUGGGUUGUGCAAAGAGAAAGUGUAUGUCUUUUGCAGGGAAAAAAUAUUUUCUGUCUGCUCUAUGGUUUGUGGGCGGAACAGAGGCUGGAUUUUUCCACAGGGAAUCUAAAAGUUCAAGGAUAGCUUCAUUGACAGAUCAUCUGCUGGUGGAGAAGGCGAGAUCUGAAAUACUGCUUUGUCCUGUCUGGAUCUAGGUUCGUGUGAGGAGCUCUCCGAAUCUGAGUGAGAAGAGUGCUGCUUUGAACUCCGUCUUCAGCUGAAGACGGUUUAAAAGGAACUGACUGAACUCGCACUCCACGUGCACUCCACAAACGGCAAGGCACGAAAUGCUUGGUGCAGUGCAAGGGAUACUGCUCUGCAAAACUCUCCGAUCCCUGGUGCGAGGAUGCACCAAGACCUGAGUGGAGCACCCACAAGGACACCACUAACAAGUUAUAAAUAUUAGGAGUAAACUACUGUUACUGUGGGUUGUUCUUGCUUUUUGCUCAAAAUUUAUUAAUACUCGUCAGGUUCUUCUUUCAUUUCUCUCUCUCUCUGUUUUAGGUACUUAUUUUAUCCAUACAUGAAGACUAAAACCCGGAAGUGAAGACACUCAGACCAAGAACUGGUGCUUUUAUGUCCCUCCUAAUUUUAACUCCACUAAACAUCAUCUUCCAAUACUGAAUACACUUACAUACAUGUCUAGCUUUAAGAAUAUGAAUCGUCCCAUUGAGGUCAAUGGAUUGCAGUGCCUAAGUAUAUGCAGGAUCAGAACUCCAGGCACCAAUUCCCAAUGAGUUUUGUAUAGGAGAACACUUCAGUUCACGCAGAUUCCUUAUAUAGUCAAACUAAAAAACAAAAACCUUAACUCUGGUUUCACCUAGAUCGGGGCUGGGAACCUAAGGCCUUGGGGCUGGAUGAGGCACCUGGUUUGCCUGGAUCUGGCCCCUGAGGCUCCCUUCUCCCCCAAUACUGAGGAACCCGUGCUAGCACUCCAGCCCCUCCGCUGCCCCCCAUGCAGCUGAAGCACACAAUCUACUAACUUGCUCCCACUGCACCCAGAUCCAGUGCGUGAGGGGAAUGUGGAGAGUAUCUUUCUUCUUCUCAGUCAGGGGCCACAUCAGUGGUGGUCUGUUUGCGGGUUUUUUGCUUCUCAGUUGUGUACAGCCCCCAACUGAUUUUUCUGUGGGUCAGCAGCCAAGACCCAGCAUUCUACAUAUGUAGAAUCAGGGUUUACCUCAACUAGUGGAUGAAAACACUGAGCUCUCCAUAUGGUAAUUUAUUGGCAUAUUCUUUAUCGUUACACCUAAGAGAGACUAAUUUGUACAGUGUUGCAAUCUUAAGUUUUCACCAAGGCCAAGUCAACACACACAAGGAACAUUCACAAGGCUAUUUAAAUACCAUUUUUGUAGGCAUGCACUAAAGCACUCUGUAUCAUUAGCAUUCCCAAAUAUAAUCCUUGAUCAUCUCUGGAUCCAUCUUAGAAUUCAGACACAAACUGACUUAGUUAAAACACGGAAAGUCCACAUUUUAGUAUAAUGAGAUUCCUUGGGGAGGGAAAACUUGGCCUAACAAGUUAAACUUUCAUGAAGUAUGACUAGAUAUUCAGAGAAGUGCUUCAACAGAAGUCUUAUUUAAUCCAAAGUAAAGGUUCAAAUGUGUUUUAGGAAUUUGAAAAAAAAAGACAACCUCUAAUAUUAAAUGUAAAAUUAUUUAAAUAUCUCUACUCCAUUCAAGUUUAUUUCAUUGUAGUACAUGUAAUAAUAUCAAAAGCAUUAAAGUCCUUUUGCUCUUUAUGCACUAAGUCAUGUACAGAACAGAUAAUUACAGGUUUGCUGUUUCUUGGAUUUAGUUUUAUUACAUGGUUUAUCCAAGGUGAAAUGUCUAAGACAUCAGAAACAUACAUGCACUUUUUUAUAAAACCGAAACACUGAUAUUUUAUAGAUUCACUACUCAAAACACUCCUGGAUUGUGAAUUCAUUUAAUGAAUAAACUGGGAAUGAAUAAGGACAUUCUUAAUUCAACAGAAGAGUACAACUGCAAAUGUAGAACUCUGAAUUUCAUCUUUUAAAAUAAUCUAUUCUACUACUUGCUCAUCACGCACAAAUAUCUAUAUCUAUGUUUUUGCUGACAGACAUGCUUCUAUGAAGUUUGAAAGAUAGAUUUUUAAACAGCCAUAUGGCAUGUGACACAGAAAAAGCACUGACUGUCAAACUCCAUCCACCAGAUACCAAUUUUAAGAAUGUGUGGGCAAUAUUUUUAAGAUGGGAGGAGAAAAAACCCAUGUAAUAGUUACCAAAUGUUUGUAACUAAGUUCACAAUCUGAUUCAGAACACUGAAAUACUCCCUGAACUGAAUGCCAGAAAUAAAUACUGAAAUCUUUCUGUUAGGCAACUAAAGCUUUGAUUGCUUAAUUUGCUUUUUGGUAGUUUGAAUAAAGUUAAACAGACAUUAUAUACAAAUAUGUACAUACUUAAUUUGAAAACAUCUAUUUUUUUCUUAAAAUUUAGUGUCAUCCCCUACCAAAUAAAGUAUAUUUCUAUUUACAAUGUAUUUUUUUGAGGUAUAAAGACAAUUCUCAGUAUCUGCAGCAUUGCUACCUGGAUACUCAAGAUUUUUUUUUAAAAAGUAUCUGCUGAUUGAAGAGCAACUGCAAUGCAAUUCCAAUUUACUAGCUACAUAUUUAGUAAAAGAUAUUCCUUUAACAAAAUCAGUAUAUACUACCCCUUUACACAGAUUGUGAGACUAGAGAAAACAGAGCAGACCUAUAUUAAACAAAGCUGUUACAGGAAAAACUGCUAAGUUAUUCUAGUCAGAAAAUGUACUGCUACUGCUCAUGACAAUACCAAAAAAAGGAAGGUAUAAAAUUUUGUCAUCAGACACAUGCACUGAUAUCCCACUAAGUAAAUGGGAAUUACAUAGGCACACCCAAAGACAGAAUCUGGCCAUAAUACAAGAGAACAUCUCUCUCAGGAUAAGUCUACACUGCACGGCUAUUACGGGAUACUGGAGGUCUAACAAAAAGCCGCCCGUUAUUUCGAAAUAUUUUUUGAAAUAACGGGUGUGCUAUUUCAUCAUCUUGGUAAA